AAGGAGGGUGCAAGCGUUAAUCGGAAUUACUGGGCGUAAAGCGCACGCAGGCGGUUUGUUAAGUCAGAUGUGUACUCCCCGGGCUCAACCUGGGAACUGAAUCUGAUACUGGCAAGCUUGAGUCUCGUAGAGGGGGGUAGAAUUCCAGGUGGAGCGGUGAAAUGCGUAGAGAUCUCGAGGAAUACCGGUGGCGAAGGCGGCACCCUGGACGAAGACUGACGCUCAGGUGCGAAAGCGUGGUGAGUAAACAG
rnacentral:rRNA from 1 species